rnacentral:tmRNA from 2 species
GGGGGCGCACUGGUUUCGACGGGGGUGUGGAAACCGGAGAAGCGAGCCGCAGUUUGUCCAGUCUGCGUUAAAAGGGACACGUUAAAUAUAAACGCUAAAAAGAACAACAAUUUCGCAUUAGCUGCUUAGUUCAGCACCGCGCGCAUGCCCGGGUUCACCUGCAGGUCCGGAACCAUGCGUCAAACAUGCAGGAAAACCUUAUGUGAAUGCCCGGCAGCAUAAGGGACUAACGGGAUAGCUGAUGAUAUAGCCUGCUUUUGGGCGAUGUUUGAGGCGAAACUUUAAAACAAAAGCUGCGCUCGGAGAAACUCCUGUGAAAAUGCUUUCGGACAUGGGUUCGAUUCCCAUCGCUUCCACCA